CCUACGGGAGGCAGCAGUGAGGAAUAUUGGUCAAUGGACGAGAGUCUGAACCAGCCACGUAGCGUGAAGGAUGAAUGCCCUAUGGGCUGUCAACUCCUUUUAUAAAGGAAUAAAACGAGGCACGUGUCUCUUUUUGCAUGUACUUUAUGAAUAAGGAAAGGCUAACUGCGUUCCAGCAGCCGCGGUCAUACGGAGGAUACGAGCGUUAUCCGGAUUUAUUGGGUUUAAAGGGAGCGUAGAUGGGUUGUUAAGUUAGUUGUGAAAGUUUCCGGCUCAACCGUAAAAUUGCAAUUGAUACUGGCAGUCUUGAGUACAGUUGAGGUAGGCGGAAUUCGAGGUGUAGCGGUGAAAUGCUUAGAUAUCACGAAGAACCCCGAUUGCGAAGGCAGCUUACUAAACUGUGACUGACAUUGAUGCUCGAAAGUGUGGGUAGCAAACAGGAUUAGAUACCCCUGUAGUC
rnacentral:rRNA from 1 species